rnacentral:rRNA from 1 species
ACAAACGACUCUCGGCAACGGAUAUCCCGGCUCUCGCAUCGAUGAAGAACGUAGCGAAAUGCGAUACUUGGUGUGAAUUGCAGAAUCCCGUGAACCAUCGAGUCUUUGAACGCAAGUUGCNCCNGAGGCCAUCAGGCUAAGGGCACGUCUGCCUGGGUGUCACGC